rnacentral:rRNA from 1 species
AUUGAACGCUGGCGGCAGGCCUAACACAUGCAAGUCGAACGAGUGGCGGACGGGUGAGUAAUGUCUGGGAAACUGCCUGAUGGAGGGGGAUAACUACUGGAAACGGUAGCUAAUACCGAAUACCGUCGGAUGUGCCCAGAUGGGAUUAGCUAGUAGGUGGGGUAAAGGCUCACCUAGGCGACGAUCUCUAGCUGGUCUGAGAGGAUGACCAGCAACCCUGGUACUGAGACACGGACCAGACUCCUACGUGAGGCAGCGGUGGGGAAUAUUGCACAAGGGGCGCAAGCCUGAAGCAGCCAUUCCGCGUGUAUGAAGAAGGCCUUCGGGUUGUAAAGUACUUUCAGCGGGGAGGCGUUACCCGCAGAAGAAGCACCGGCUAACUCCGUGCCAGCAGCCGCGGUAAUAC